GAUGAACGCUGGCGGCGUGCCUAAUACAUGCAAGUCGAGCGAACGGACGAGAAGCUUGCUUUUCUGAUGUUAGCGGCGGACGGGUGAGUAACACGUGGAUAACCUACCUAUAAGACUGGGAUAACUUCGGGAAACCGGAGCUAAUACCGGAUAAUAUUUUGAACCGCAUGGUUCAAAAGUGAAAGACGAUCUUGCUGUCACUUAUAGAUGGAUCCGCGCUGCAUUAGCUAGUUGGUAAGGUAACGGCUUACCAAGGCAACGAUGCAUAGCCGACCUGAGAGGGUGAUCGGCCACACUGGAACUGAGACACGGUCCAGACUCCUACGGGAGGCAGCAGUAGGGAAUCUUCCGCAAUGGGCGAAAGCCUGACGGAGCAACGCCGCGUGAGUGAUGAAGGUCUUCGGAUCGUAAAACUCUGUUAUUAGGGAAGAACAUAUGUGUAAGUAACUGUGCACAUCUUGACGGUACCUAAUCAGAAAGCCACGGCUAACUACGUG
rnacentral:rRNA from 1 species